UACGUAGGUGACCAGCGUUGUCCGGAUUUACUGGGCGUAAAGAGCGCGCAGGCGGUCGUUCAAGUCGAGUGUGAAAGCCCCCGGCUCAACUGGGGAGGGUCACUCGAUACUGAUCGACUUGAAGGCAGGAGAGGGAAGCGGAAUUCCCGGUGUAGUGUUGAAAUGCGUAGAUAUCGGGAGGAACACCAGUGGCGAAGGCGGCUUCCUGGCCUGUUCUUGACGCUGAGGCGCGAAAGCUAGGGGAGCAAACGGG
rnacentral:rRNA from 1 species